AACUUCUAACGGUGGAUCUCUUGGCUCGCGCAUCGAUGAAGAACGCAGCCAGCUGCGAUAAGUAGUGUGAAUUGCAGAACUCAGCGAAUCAUCGAAUCUUUGAACGCAA
rnacentral:rRNA from 1 species